rfam:Nannochloropsis gaditana strain B-31 unplaced genomic scaffold NG_scf04, whole genome shotgun sequence.
GGUAUCGUGCCCGAGUGGUUAAGGGGCCGCACUCAAGUUGCGGUGGAGCGAUCCGCGCGUGUUCAAAUCACGUCGAUACCA